AACGAACGCUGGCGGCAGGCUUAGCACAUGCAAGUCGAGCGCCCCGCAAGGGGAGCGGCAGACGGGUGAGUAACGCGUGGGAAUCUACCCAUCUCUACGGAAUAACGCAUGGAAUCGUGUGCUAAUACCGUAUACGUCCUUCGGGAGAAAGAUUUAUCGGAGAUGGAUGAGCCCGCGUUGGAUUAGCUAGUUGGUGGGGUAAAGGCCUACCAAGGCGACGAUCCAUAGCUGGUCUGAGAGGAUGAUCAGCCACACUGGGACUGAGACACGGCCCAGACUCCUACGGGAGGCAGCAGUGGGGAGUAUUGGACAAUGGGCGCAAGCCUGAUCCAGCCAUGCCGCGUGAGUGAUGAAGGCCCUAGGGUUGUAAAGCUCUUUCACCGGUGAAGAUAAUGACGGUAACCGGAGAAGAAGCCCCGGCUAACUUCGUGCCAGCCGCCGCCGUAAGAC
rnacentral:rRNA from 1 species